rnacentral:lncRNA from 1 species
GGUGGCUUGGGUAGGAUGUAACACACAAGUUUUCUUUCACAAUCUUGAUAAUUUUAUUAAGAGAAAAAUAAAGAAGCAAGAAAAUUUCAUAAUUUCAAUAAAUUAGUAAAAAAAAAAAAGAAAGAAAACAAGUUUAAUGAAAAACAAGAAAAAUUAAUUGAUAUAAAACUUUAUAAAAAAAUAUCAAUUUCAAUAAUUCCAUAUUGUUUUUCUUCAUGUUGUUUUCAUUUUAUAGCCCUAAGAAACUCUGUACCAGGAAACCUAUGAUUCAACGUAUUCUGCUGUAGCUCAUGUUGGCUGCAAUACCAGAUGUAUAACUUAUUAUUAUUAUUAUUAUUAUUAUUAUUAUUAUUAUUAUUAUUAUUAUUAUUAUCAUUAUCAUCAUCAUCAUCAUCAUCAUCAUCAUCAUCAUCAUCAUCAUUAUCAUUAUCAUUAUCAUUAUUAUUAUUAUUAUUAUUAUUAUUAUUAUUUUAUUAUUAUUAUUAUUAUUAUUAUUUAGCGACUGCCGUAGGUUAGUUGGGAGAGUGAGAGAGAUUUAACUGCUGUUUCUAGCAUAUGGGAAUAACCACGUAGAAGCUUUUCUUCCUUGGUCGGUUCGUUGUUGCUGAUAUUUUAUGCAGAAAUCAUUAGUUAUAAACUUAAAAAAAGUUGUUGUUGCUGCUGCUGCUGCUGCGGCUACUGCUGAUAGCGUUGUUAUUGUGAAUGGUGGUGGUGGUGGUGGUGAUGGUGGUGGUAGUGGUGGGGUGGUGUGGCGGCGGUGGUGAUGGUAGCAGCAGCAGUGUUGAUGAUGAUGAUGAUGAUGGUAAUGAUUACGAUGAGAAUAUUGCGAUAUUGAUGACGAUAAAAAAUAAUUUGCAUAUGAUUAUAACGAAGAUGUUUAUGAUGAUGUUGAUGAUGCUGAUGCUGAUGCUGUUAGUCGGCGGUGGUGGUGGUGGUGGUGGUGGCGGCGGCGAAAACGUUGUAGACUACGACGAUUGUGACUGUUGUGGUGAUGGUGUGUGUAGUGGACGAUGGCGACGGACGGCCACGACAAUGUUUUACGACGAUUAUGUGGAUGGUAGUAUUGAUGAUUACGACGUUGACGCUGGUGUUGGUGAUAAUAAUAAUAAUAAUGACGAUGGUGGUGAUGGUGAUGGUGAUGGUGAUGGUGGUGGGGGGGGAUGAUGAUGCUUAUGAUGUUGUUAGUCUUCUUCCUGUUAUUGUCCGUCGUAAUUAUUGUUCGUCGAGGCUAUUUUGCCGUUAGCUUUCGCUACAAAUCUUAUCAUAUGUUUAAUAACUAUGCACCUACACCGUCGCCACCCGUGCUCCUGAACUAUGUAACAGCUAUCAAGCUAGCUUAAGCUACAGCGAACGGCACCGGCUAAUUUAACUAGGAGAGAGCGAGUGGCUAUAUGCUGUCUGAUUGGUGGGAAAGAGUUAAGGGCUUCGAGAUACGCUGACUAAGGGACUCCCUGGUUGAGAGACGGAGAGAGAGAGAGAAAGAGAAAGAGAGAGAGAGAGAAUGAGCAAGGGAGAUAGGGAGAUUCCUGUGCGACGAUAUAUAUAUAUAUGCGACGUCUGUGUGUAUAUAGACAAGAAGUAGAAAAGAAAGCAGAAAGGAUAAGAAAGAAUGAGAGAGAGAGAGAGAGAGAGAGGCUGUGAUAGGGAGAGAGGGUGCUAUAGAGGCAGGAAGUCAGGGCAGGAAGAAAGACAAUGAAGUAUGUUGGAUGUGAAAGAAAAAAUAGAGAGAAAAACUAAGAGGGAACCUAAGAAAUUAGUUAGAUAGAUAAAUAGAUAGACAGACAGAUAUGUUUCUUUAUUAGCCACACAGGGCUGCACACAGAUAGAACAAAUUACAAGGUAGAGCUUUUCUUUUGAAGGUUUAAAAAAAAAAAAAAAAAAAGGAAGGGGGAGUUUCGAUCAAAAGGGAUCGUAAAAGGAGAGAAAGAGGACAAAAAAAGGGGGGUUAAAAAAAAAGGGGGAGAGAAAAAAAAAUUGAUCAAUAGGGAUCGUUAUCACAGAAAUGUCAAUAUGAAGUGUAAAGGGGAGGACAGGUGAGGUUUACCCGUGGAAAGAAAAGCCUACGGAAAAGACCACGGUAACGUCGGUCAAUGAAGUCACAUUUUAUAUUUCUUUUUUUUUUUUUUUUUUUUUUGCAAAUAAGCAACUCUCUGUUUUCGAUUUCUGGGUUCAUAGGACUAUGCUCAAGGUGGCUUCGUCAUUCAUACGUGCCAUUCUUGCUACAUUCACCCAUCUUUUUUUAGACAGAUAGAUAGAUAUAUAGAUAGAUGGGUAAAUAAGCAGACAGACAGACAGACAGACAGAUAGAUAGAUAGAUAGAUAGAUAGAUAGAUAGAUAGAUAGAUAGAUAGAUAGAUAGAUAGAUAGAUAGAUAGACAACAACACAGGCAGAUAGAUUGAUACACAGAUAGACAGACAGACAUAUAGAUAGAUAAAUAGAUAGGUAAACUAAUGGAUAGAUAGAUAGAUAGAUAGAUAGAUAGAUAGAUAGAUAGAUAGA